AGCGAACGCUGGCGGUAGGCCUAACACAUGCAAGUCGAACGGCAGCACAGUAAGAGCUUGCUCUUACGGGUGGCGAGUGGCGGACGGGAGAGGAAUACAUCGGAAUCUACUUUUUCGUGGAGGAUCACGUAGGGAAACUUACGCUAAUACCGCAUACGCCCUACGGGUGAAAGCAGGGGAUCUUCGCACCUUGCGCGAUUGAAUGCGCCGAUGUCGGUUUAGCUAGUUGGCGGGGUAAAGGCCCACCUAGGCGCCGAUCCGUAGCUGGUCUGAGUGGAUGGUAGGCGGCAUGAGAACGGGGACAGGGUCCAGACGCCUACGAGAGGGAGCAGAGGGGAAUGGUGGGCAAUGGGCGCAAGCCUGACCCAGCGAGAGCGAGUGGGAUAAGAAGGCCUUGGGGUUGUAAAGCCCGUUUGUUGGGUAAGAAAAGCAGCAGGUUAAUACCCCGCUGGUGUGACGGUACCCAAUGAAGAAGCACCGGCUAACUACGUG
rnacentral:rRNA from 1 species